rnacentral:lncRNA from 1 species
AGUCUUCCCGGCAGCAGUGAGCUCUGUUCGUUUUUCUGAGUAAUAUGGAAAUGGCACGGCUCAGCCACACAAGGGCCUGGGCAAAGGUCACGGCCAGCAAAGAACACAGCCUGGGUCCUCUGAGUCCCGAGUCCACGCGAUCCUGACCCGUCCACCACCCUCCUCGAGACACGACAAGUUAGGCGGGAACAUAACCUGGGAGCCCCAUGUCGGUUUCAGGCUCCACAAGGGAUCUCUGGGUAAAGGGUUUGUCUCUUCCACAUCUGUUCAUUUAGGAGAAGCAAAGAACAUGGAAAGCAGAAUUCCUGGGGGUGGCCUCAACCCCAAGCCCUGCCGAUGCAAACCGGCACCUUGAAGAUGCCUUUGGAAUUUAACUGGAAGAUUUGAAUGACAUGGGCAGACACAGAAGAGGGAGAAGCAUUCCACAGGGGAGGAAAGGCCUCAGUGGGGACCUAUGGAGCUCCCAGGCCCACCGCAGGGAGGCAGGUCCUCGGUCAUCUGCGGAGGGAGAACACUUUCAGUCGAAGGAGCCUGGGACCCUUGACACAGAAGUGACAUGUGCAUUCGGAACCUCUCUGUGGAAAACACAGACCCUUCAUGACACGCAAACUCGAAGCCGAUGCAAUAACCACCUUCGGAGACCAGACCCCUCAAAGAGCACUCAGCCCACAAUGUGACGCAGAGAAACCAGAGACCCAGGCAGGGAGUGCACCCACGGGGACACUCCGAGGGUGGCCUCCUGCCUGCCCUGAUUACUUAAAAAGGAGAUUCUUGGAAACCUUUGCGGGCCCACAGGUGCACCCUGACUCCCAGGGAUGGGGGCUGAGCCACCCAGGAAACAAAUAUGAAAUCAAAGAUCCAGACAGCCCUGACCCUCCUGAUUCCAGGGUCCAUAAAUAAGUCAUUCUUAAAAUAGUGGUUGUUUUCUCUCUAUUUAAGAAGUGCUUCUUUUUUGAGUCCUUGUUCCCAACUUCCCUGGCAACUCAGUUUCCUGUUUCCUCCGGGAGGAAGGCAGAACUGCAGGAGAGGGACGGAGGAACACAGUCCCCAACUCUCUGUGAUCAGCAGAGCCCAGAGAGCCCAGCCUCGUGUACCAAAAAGGUCUGGGAGCCCCAUUUUUCUUCAGAGGAAAUGUUAAUGCCCGAAUGUCACCAGCUCAUCGCCGACAAAGGCCUGAACACAAACGUCUCCAGGCAACAGCCCCGAGCAGUCACUCUGGAAGGUUACGUGAAGCUGCUGGCUCAGAUUUUAAAUCGUCUCACAUGUGGGUUGCCCCACCUACCCCAUCAACAAACACAGCUUCGCACUUCUGCAUCAGAGGCUGUGCUGGGUUCUGGGGACACGGAAGGCCCCCAGCUCUCAGGCCUGGUAAGAGAAAGAAAAACACGAAGACAUUCCAGCCGGCCCUU